UACGUAGGGGGCUAGCGUUGUCCGGAAUCAUUGGGCGUAAAGGGCGCGUAGGUGGUUCUGUAUGUCUACCGUGAAAGCGUACGGCUCAACCGUAUUUUGUCGGUAGAAACUGCAGGACUUGAGGCUGGGAGGGGCUGGCGGAAUUCCCUGUGUAGCGGUGAAAUGCGUAGAGAUGGGGGAGAACACUCGUGGCGAAGGCGGCCAGCUAGACCAGUUCUGACACUGAGGCGCGACAGCGUGGGGAGCAAACAGG
rnacentral:rRNA from 1 species